AGUGGAGCAAUCCAUGAGUAAAGUGGCGACCGGGUGAGUAACACGUGACUAACCUACCUUUGAGUGGGGAAUAACCUCGGGAAACCGGGGCUAAUACCGCAUAAUACCGAGAGGUCAAAGGAGCAAUCCGCUUGAAGAGGGGGUCGCGGCUGAUUAGCUAGUUGGUAGGGUAAUGGCCUACCAAGGCAGUGAUCAGUAUCCGGUCUGAGAGGGCGCACGGACACACUGGAACUGAAACACGGUCCAGACUCCUACGGGAGGCAGCAGUGGGGAAUUUUGCACAAUGGGGGAAACCCUGAUGCAGCAACGCCGCGUGGAGGAUGAAGCCCCUUGGGGCGUAAACUCCUUUCGAUCGGGACGAUAAUAACGGUACCGGAAGAAGAAGCACCGGCUAACUCUGUGCCAGCAGCCGCGGUAAUACAGAGGGUGCAAGCGUUGUUCGGAAUUAUUGGGCGUAAAGGGCGCGUAGGCGGUGCGGUAAGUCAGCUGUGAAAUCUCCGGGCUCAACUCGGAGCCUGCAGUUGGAACUGCCGUGCUUGAGUAUGGGAGA
rnacentral:rRNA from 1 species